AUCUUCGUAUACAUCGAUGACAACAGGAUGAUCUAUCGCACCAUCUUUCAAUUUAGCAUUCGAGCCAACCAGCAUCAAUACGAUCCUAUAAGAUCGAAGUAUCGAAGCGAUGGAAAGUUAAUUAUAAUUUUAAAACACCUUGUCAUAGACAUAUGCAAUUGUCGUUCACAUCGUGACCAAAAACAGCACUUUGCGAUUGAUAUUCCGUAGAUGACUUUAAAAAAAUCGUGAGAACCGGAAUUCCAAAAAAUGAAAGGAAAAUAAAACGAUACAAGCUCACGCACAGGUAUACGUAUACUUUCUUUUCUUUUCCUUUUCUGAUCAUUUCGAAACACUCACCUUGUCUCACUUGUCUUUCUUUUUCCGGUUUAUUUCUCGGAUUAAAACGGGAUGGACGACGAGAUUGACGAUUAAAGAAACGUGCUCACUGAUAGGGUUAUGAAGAGACAGGCACCUUCACCGUCGAUUAUAUAGAAAUAGUCCCCACCAUCUCGUAGAUUCAUCCCACCCUGGGCUACAAGGACCCAUCGAGACUCUUCUUAGCUCAACCUUAGUCAUAAUUGGCUUAAUAAUCGAGGGUUAGGUUUUUCGUGAUUUUCACGUGCUUUUGUCGCGUUUAUUGUUCGAGAAG
rnacentral:misc_RNA from 1 species